GACGAACGCUGGCGGCGUGCUUAACACAUGCAAGUCGAACGGAAAGGCCCUGCUUUUGUGGGGUUCUCGAGUGGCGAACGGGUGAGUAACACGUGAGUAACCUGCCCUUGACUUUGGGAUAACUUCAGGAAACUGGGGCUAAUACCGGAUAGGAGCUCCUGCUGCAUGGGGGGGGUUGGAAAGUUUCGGCUGUGGGGGAUGGACUCGCGGGUUAUCAGCUGGUUGGUGGGGUAGUGGCUUACCAAGGCUUUGACGGGUAGCCGGCAUGGGAGGGUGACCGGCGUCAUUGGGACUGCGAUAGGGCCCAGACGCCUACGGGAGGCAGCGGUGGGGAAUAUUACACAAUAGGCGGGCGCCUGAUAUAACGACGCUGCGAGCGGAAUGACGGCCUUCGGGUUAUAAACCACUUUCGCAUGUGACGUAGCGUGAGUGACGGUAAUGGGUAAAGAAGCACCGGCUAACUACGUG
rnacentral:rRNA from 1 species